CCUACGGGAGGCAGCAGUGAGGAAUAUUGGUCAAUGGGCGGAAGCCUGAACCAGCCAAGUAGCGUGCAGGAUGACGGCCCUAUGGGUUGUAAACUGCUUUUAUACGGGAAUAACGCGCCUUACGUGUAGGGCUUUGCAUGUACCGUAUGAAUAAGGACCGGCUAAUUCCGUGCCAGCAGCCGCGGUAAUACGGAAGGUCCGGGCGUUAUCCGGGUUUAUUGGGUUUAAAGGGAGCGUAGGCCGCAUGUCAAGCGUACUGUGAAAUGUCCGGGCUCAACCCGGGCCGUGCAGCGCGAACUGGCGUGCUGGAGUCCGCGGAAAGUAGGCGGAAUUCGUGGUGUAGCGGUGAAAUGCUUAGAUAUGACGAAGAACCCCGAUUGCGAAGGCAGCUUACUGCAGCGCAACUGACGCUGAUGCUCGAAAGCGCGGGUAUCGAACAGGAUUAGAUACCCCUGUAGUC
rnacentral:rRNA from 1 species